AGUGAACGCUGGCGGUAUGCCUAACACAUGCAAGUCGAACGGCAGCACAGUAAGAGCUUGCUCUUACGGGUGGCGAGUGGCGGACGGGUGAGGAAUACAUCGGAAUCUACUUUUUCGGGGGGGAUAACGUAGGGAAACUUACGCUAAUACCGCAUACGACCUACGGGUGAAAGCAGGGGAUCUUCGGACCUUGCGCGAUUGAAUUAGCCGAUGUCGGAUUAGCUAGUUGGCGGGGUAAAGGCCCAACAAGGCGACGAUCCGUAGCUGGUCUGAGAGGAUGAUCAGCCACACUGGAACUGAGACACGGUCCAGACUCCUACGGGAGGCAGCAGUGGGGAAUAUUGGACAAUGGGCGCAAGCCUGAUCCAGCCAUACCGCGUGGGUGAAGAAGGCCUUCGGGUUGUAAAGCCCUUUUGUUGGGAAAGAAAAGCAGCAGGUUAAUACCCCGCUGUUCUGACGGUACCCAAAGAAUAAGCACCGGCUAACUUCGUG
rnacentral:rRNA from 1 species